CGGUGAGGUCGCCGAGUCGGUCACGGCGGGCCGUCCCGUGACGGUGGCGACGGUGACCGACGGGCCCGCCCCGCUCGGCGCGGCGCUCGCCGUC
rnacentral:tRNA from 1 species